rnacentral:rRNA from 1 species
AUAUCAGAAGGCACACCCGGAGAACUGAAACAUCUUAGUACCCGGAGAAAGAGAAAGAAAAUUCGAUUCCCUUAGUAGCGGCGAGCGAAACGGGAAGAGCCCAAACCAACAAGCUUGCUUGUUGGGGUUGUAGGACACUCUAUACGGAGUUACAAAGGACGACAUUAGACGAAUCAUCUGGAAAGAUGAAUCAAAGAAGGUAAUAAUCCUGUAGUCGAAAAUGUUGUCUCUCUUGAGUGGAUCCUGAGUACGACGGAGCACGUGAAAUUCCGUCGGAAUCUGGGAGGACCAUCUCCUAAGGCUAAAUACUCUCUAGUGACCGAUAGUGAACCAGUACCGUGAGGGAAAGGUGAAAAGCACCCCGGAAGGGGAGUGAAAUAGAACCUGAAACCGUGUGCUUACAAGUAGUCAGAGCCCGUUAAUGGGUGAUGGCGUGCCUUUUGUAGAAUGAACCGGCGAGUUACGAUUUGAUGCAAGGUUAAGCAGUAAAUGUGGAGCCGUAGCGAAAGCGAGUCUGAAUAGGGCGUUUAGUAUUUGGUCGUAGACCCGAAACCAGGUGAUCUACCCUUGGUCAGGUUGAAGUUCAGGUAACACUGAAUGGAGGACCGAACCGACUUACGUUGAAAAGUGAGCGGAUGAACUGAGGGUAGCGGAGAAAUUCCAAUCGAACCUGGAGAUAGCUGGUUCUCUCCGAAAUAGCUUUAGGGCUAGCCUCAAGUGAUGAUUAUUGGAGGUAGAGCACUGUUUGGACGAGGGGCCCCUCUCGGGUUACCGAAUUCAGACAAACUCCGAAUGCCAAUUAAUUUAACUUGGGAGUCAGAACAUGGGUGAUAAGGUCCGUGUUCGAAAGGGAAACAGCCCAGACCACCAGCUAAGGUCCCAAAAUAUAUGUUAAGUGGAAAAGGAUGUGGCGUUGCCCAGACAACUAGGAUGUUGGCUUAGAAGCAGCCAUCAUUUAAAGAGUGCGUAAUAGCUCACUAGUCGAGUGACACUGCGCCGAAAAUGUACCGGGGCUAAACAUAUUACCGAAGCUGUGGAUUGUCCUUUGGACAAUGGUAGGAGAGCGUUCUAAGGGCGUUGAAGCAUGAUCGUAAGGACAUGUGGAGCGCUUAGAAGUGAGAAUGCCGGUGUGAGUAGCGAAAGACGGGUGAGAAUCCCGUCCACCGAUUGACUAAGGUUUCCAGAGGAAGGCUCGUCCGCUCUGGGUUAGUCGGGUCCUAAGCUGAGGCCGACAGGCGUAGGCGAUGGAUAACAGGUUGAUAUUCCUGUACCACCUAUAAUCGUUUUA